UACGUAGGGGGCAAGCGUUGUCCGGAUUUAUUGGGCGUAAAGAGCGUGUAGGCGGCCUGGAAGGUCCGUUGUGAAAACUCGAGGCUCAACCUCGAGACGCCGAUGGAAACCACCUGGCUAGAGUCCGGAAGAGGAGAGUGGAAUUCUCGGUGUAGAGGUGAAAUUCGUAGAUAUCGAGAGGAACACCGGUGGCGAAGGCGGCCAACUGGACGAAUACUGACGCUGAGACUCGAAAGCGUGGGGAGCAAACAGG
rnacentral:rRNA from 1 species